rnacentral:rRNA from 1 species
GACGAACGCUGGCGGCGUGCUUAACACAUGCAAGUCAAACGUGAUUUUUGUGGAAAUUCUUUCGGGAAUGGAAAUGAAAUGAAAGUGGCGAACGGGUGAGUAACACGUGAGCAACCUACCUUACACAGGGGGAUAGCCGUUGGAAACGACGAUUAAUACCGCAUGAGACCACAGAAUCGCAUGAUAUAGGGGUCAAAGAUUUAUCGGUGUAAGAAGGGCUCGCGUCUGAUUAGCUAGUUGGAAGGGUAAAGGCCUACCAAGGCGACGAUCAGUAGCCGGUCUGAGAGGAUGAACGGCCACAUUGGAACUGAGACACGGUCCAAACUCCUACGGGAGGCAGCAGUGGGGAAUAUUGCACAAUGGGGGGAACCCUGAUGCAGCGACGCCGCGUGAGCGAAGAAGGUUUUCGAAUCGUAAAGCUCUGUCCUAUGAGAAGAUAAUGACGGUAUCAUAGGAGGAAGCCCCGGCUAAAUACGUG